GGAGAAUAGCUAGCGUUUGUUUUAUUUGGUAUGUGACUAUUUGCGAGCUAUAUCAUAAGACACACGCGGCUAUUCUCC
rnacentral:pre_miRNA from 1 species